CAGUCGCCGCGGUAAUACGAAGGGGGCGAGCGUUGCUCGGAAUGACUGGGCGUAAAGGGCGCGUAGGUGGCGUGCACAGUCAGAUGUGAAAUUCCUGGGCUCAACCUGGGGGCUGCAUUUGAUACGUGCGUGCUAGAGUGUGGAAGAGGGUCGUGGAAUUCCCAGUGUAGAGGUGAAAUUCGUAGGUAUUGGGAAGAACACCGGUGGCGAAGGCGGCGACCUGGUCCAUUACUGACGCUGAGGCGCGAAAGCGUGGGGAGCAAACAGGAUUAGAUACCCGUGUAGUCCCUGUCUCUUAUAA
rnacentral:rRNA from 1 species